rnacentral:misc_RNA from 1 species
GCAAACUUGGUCAUUUAGAGGAAGUAAAAGUCGUAACAAGGUUUCCGUAGGUGAACCUGCGGAAGGAUCAUUAAUGAAUAAACUUGGUCGAGUUGUUGCUGGCUCUUUGGAGCAUGUGCACGCUUGCCACCAAUUUUUUAACCACCUGUGCACCUUUUGUAGACUGAAAACGUUUCUCGAGGCAACUCGGAUUGAGAACUGCUGCGCGCAAGCCGGCUGUUCUUGUGUUUCUCAGUCUAUGUUUUCAUAUACUCCUUAUGUAUGUAUCUGAAUGUAUUGCUAGGCCUUUAGUGCCUUUAAAAACAAAUACAACUUUCAACAACGGAUCUCUUGGCUCUCGCAUCGAUGAAGAACGCAGC